UGAAGCUGGCACCUCCGGUGUCCGCGUUGUAAUCUCGAGACGUGUUUUCCGUGCGGCUCUAUGGACAAGUCCCUUGGAAUAGGGCAUCGUAGAGGGUGAGAAUCCCGUACUUGCCAUGGAAGAACCGUGCUUUGCGAUACACGCUCUAAGAGUCGAGUUGUUUGGGAUUGCAGCUCAAAAUGGGUGGUAGACUCCAUCUAAAGCUAAAUAUCGGGGAGAGACCGAUAGCGAACAAGUACCGUGAGGGAAAGAUGAAAAGCACUUUGGAAAGAGAGUUAAAAGUACGUGAAAUUGUCGAAAGGGAAGCACUUGAAGUCAGCCAUGCUGCUUGAGACUCAGCCUGGCCUUUGGGCUUGGUGUAUUUCUCGGUGGCAAGCCAGCAUUGGUUUGGGUCGUCGGAGAAGCGCAUAGGGAAUGUAGCGUCUCCGGACGUGUUAUAGCCUUAUGCAGGAUACGACGACCUGGAUCAAGGAACGCAGUGUGCCCUCUGG
rnacentral:rRNA from 1 species